UUUCCUUCCUGACAGGUGUUCAGUAGCUCACUGUGAUUGCUGAGAAGUCAACACAGGGACAAAGCGGAGUCCUGCUUUGUCGUACAGGCCGGAGCGCAAUGGCAUGAUCUCGGCUCACUGCAACUUCCGCCUCCCGGGUUCAAGCAAUUCUCCUGUCUCAGCCUUGUCUGGGUCCCAGACCCAAAGACUGCUCCUCCAAACUCAGAGAUACCAACACCAGCAAAGCAGCUCCUCUUCUUCAGUACAGAUGCUUCUCAACAUACAAUGAGGUUGUAUCCUUACAAACACAUGGUAAGUUGAAAAUAUCGUUAAGUCAAAAAUGUAUUUUAAUAGUUCAAUAAACCCAUAGUAAAGUUGAAAAGUUGUAAGAAAA